GGCGGACGGGUGAGUAAUGCUUGGGAAUGUGCCUUAUGGUGGGGGACAACAGUUGGAAACGACUGCUAAUACCGCAUAAUGUCUUCGGACCAAAGUGGGGGACCUUCGGGCCUCACGCCAUAAGAUCAGCCCAAGUGGGAUUAGCUAGUUGGUAAGGUAAUGGCUUACCAAGGCGACGAUCCCUAGCUGGUUUGAGAGGAUGAUCAGCCACACUGGGACUGAGACACGGCCCAGACUCCUACGGGAGGCAGCAGUGGGGAAUAUUGCACAAUGGGCGCAAGCCUGAUGCAGCCAUGCCGCGUGUGUGAAGAAGGCCUUCGGGUUGUAAAGCACUUUCAGUAAGGAGGAAAGGUUAAGUGUUAAUAGCACUUAGCUGUGACGUUACUUACAGAAGAAGCACCGGCUAACUCCGUGCCAGCAGCCGCGGUAAUACGGAGGGUGCGAGCGUUAAUCGGAAUUACUGGGCGUAAAGCGUAC
rnacentral:rRNA from 1 species